AAAUAACAUGAAUAUGAUAUUGUACUGGACCAUAAUUUUAAAUUAUUUCUCAGCAUUGCUUUCUUUGGUUGCUGCUGAGAAUUGUCCUUUACUUCCAUGUCCCAAGGUGAAGGCUCCAAUUUGUAGUCCUGAUGAUAAUGGAUGUUUUUUUGAGUUCAAAAACGAUUGCUUCUUAGUUCAGGAAAAUUGCGCCCGUGUUAAAAAGGGUCUAGAAAGUAAGUCGGAAUACCAACAUUAAUAUAUUAUUAAAAUUCUCAAUUU